rnacentral:rRNA from 1 species
GAAACUGCCGAAUAGGCUCUAUUCAAAUCAGUUGAUCGUUUGAUUUAGAUAAGUGACCCUCACUUACUAUUGGUAUGACGUGUGGUAAUUCUUUUGGGGGGGGGAUGCGCAAAACCCCGACUUCGGAAGGGGUGUAUUUAUUAGAUAAAAAACCAAUGCCCUUCGGGGCUCCUUGGUGAUUCAUAAUAACUUCACGAAUCGCAUGGCCUUGCGCCGGCGAUGGUUCAUUCAAAUUUCUGCCCUAUCAACUUUCGGGGGGGGGAUAGUGGCCUACCAUGGUGGCAACGGGUAACGGGGAAUUAGGGUUCGAUUCCGGAGAGGGAGCCUGAGAAACGGCUACCACAUCCAAGGAAGGCAGCAGGCGCGCAAAUUACCCAAUCCCGAUACGGGGAGGUAGUGACAAUAAAUACUGAUACAGGGCUCUUUUGGGUCUUGUAAUUGGAAUGAGAACAAUCUAAACACCUUAACGAGGAACAAUUGGAGGGCAAGUCUGGUGCCAGCAGCCGCGGUAAUUCCAGCUCCAAUAGCGUAUAUUAAAGUUGUUGCAGUUAAAAAGCUCGUAGUUGAACCUUGGGCCCGUCCUGCCGGUCCGCCUCUCCGCGAGUACUGGCCCGUAUGGGCCUUUCUUUCUGGGGAAUCCCAUGGCCUUCACUGGCUGUGGUGGGGAACCAGGACUUUUACUGUGAAAAAAUUAGAGUGUUCAAAGCAGGCCUUUGCUCGGAUACAUUAGCAUGGAAUAAUAGAAUAGGACGUGCGGUUCUAUUUUGUUGGUUUCUAGGACCGCCGUAAUGAUUAAUAGGGAUAGUCGGGGGCGUCAGUAUUCAGCUGUCAGAGGUGAAAUUCUUGGAUUUGCUGAAGACUAACUACUGCGAAAGCAUUCGCCAAGGAUGUUUCCAUUAAUCAGGGAACGAAAGUUAGGGGAUCGAAGACGAUCAGAUACCGUCGUAGUCUUAACCAUAAACUAUGCCGACUAGGGAUCGGGCGGGGUUUCUAUGAUGACCCGCUCGGCACCUUACGAGAAAUCAAAGUUUUUGGGUUCUGGGGGGAGUAUGGUCGCAAGGCUGAAACUUAAAGAAAUUGACGGAAGGGCACCACAAGGCGUGGACUGCGGCUUAAUUUGACUCAACACGGGGAAACUCACCAGGUCCAGACAAAAUAAGGAUUGACAGAUUGAGAGCUCUUUCUUGAUCUUUCGGAUGGUGGUGCAUGGCCGUUCUUAGUUGGUGGAGUGAUUUGUCUGCUUAAUUGCGAUAACGAACGAGACCUCGGCCCUUAAAUAGCCCGGUCCGCGUUUGCGGGCCGCUGGCUUCUUAGGGGGACUCCCCACCCAAACCGAUGGAAGUACGUGGCAAUAACAGGUCUGUGAUGCCC